UAGGGAAUCUUCGGCAAUGGGGGGAACCCUGACCGAGCAACGCCGCGUGAGUGAAGAAGGAUUUCGGUUCGUAAAACUCUGUUGUUAGAGAAGAACAGCGCAUAGAGUAACUGUUAUGCGUGUGACGGUAUCUAACCAGAAAGCCACGGCUAACUACGUGCCAGCAGCCGCGGUAAUACGUAGGUGGCAAGCGUUGUCCGGAUUUAUUGGGCGUAAAGCGAGCGCAGGCGGUCAAUUAAGUCUGAUGUGAAAGCCCCCGGCUCAACCGGGGAGGGUCAUUGGAAACUGUUUAACUUGAGUGCAGAAGGGGAGAGUGGAAUUCCAUGUGUAGCGGUGAAAUGCGUAGAUAUAUGGAGGAACACCGGUGGCGAAAGCGGCUCUCUGGUCUGUAACUGACGCUGAGGCUCGAAAGCGUGGGGAGCGAACAGG
rnacentral:rRNA from 1 species